rnacentral:rRNA from 1 species
CAGUCGCCGCGGUAAAACGUAGGGUGCAAGCGUUAAUCGGAAUUACUGGGCGUAAAGCGUGCGCAGGCGGUUAUAUAAGACAGAUGUGAAAUCCCCGGGCUCAACCUGGGAACUGCAUUUGUGACUGUAUAGCUAGAGUACGGCAGAGGGGGAUGGAAUUCCGCGUGUAGCAGUGAAAUGCGUAGAUAUGCGGAGGAACACCGAUGGCGAAGGCAAUCCCCUGGGCCUGUACUGACGCUCAUGCACGAAAGCGUGGGGAGCAAACAGGAUUAGAUACCCCCGUAGUCCCUGUCUCUUAUAA